CACAAGCGGAGGAACAUGUGGUUUAAUUCGAUGAUACGCGAGGAACCUUACCUGGGCUUAAAUGGGAGUGACAGCUGUCGAAAGAUGGUUUUCUUCGGACACUCUUCAAGGUGCUGCAUGGUUGUCGUCAGCUCGUGCCGUGAGGUGUCGGGUUAAGUCCCAUAACGAGCGCAACCCUUACCGUUAGUUACCAUCAGGUUAAGCUGGGGACUCUAGCGGGACUGCCACCGUAAGGUGAGAGGAAGGUGGGGGAUGACGUCAAAUCAGCACGGCCCUUAUGUCCAGGGCUACACACGUGUUACAAUGGCCGGUACAAAGGGCAGCUACUUCGCGAGAAGAUGCUAAUCUCGAAAGCCGGUCUCAGUUCGGAUCGAAGUCUGCAACCCGACUUCGUGAAGCUGGAUUCGCUAGUAAUCGCGCAUCAGCCAUGGCGCGGUCGAAUACGUUCCCGGGCCUU
rnacentral:rRNA from 1 species